rnacentral:rRNA from 1 species
AGCGAACGCUGGCGGCAGGCUUAACACAUGCAAGUCGAGCGGGCAUAGCAAUAUGUCAGCGGCAGACGGGUGAGUAACGCGUGGGAACGUACCUUUUGGUUCGGAACAACUGAGGGAAACUUCAGCUAACACCGGAUAAGCCCUUACGGGGAAAGAUUUAUCGCCGAAAGAUCGGCCCGCGUCUGAUUAGCUAGUUGGUGAGGUAAUGGCUCACCAAGGCGACGAUCAGUAGCUGGUCUGAGAGGAUGAUCAGCCACAUUGGGACUGAGACACGGCCCAAACUCCUACGGGAGGCAGCAGUGGGGAAUAUUGGACAAUGGGCGCAAGCCUGAUCCAGCCAUGCCGCGUGAGUGAUGAAGGCCCUAGGGUUGUAAAGCUCUUUUGUGCGGGAAGAUAAUGACGGUACCGCAAGAAUAAGCCCCGGCUAACUUCGUGCCAGCCGCCGCAGUAA